rnacentral:tRNA from 1 species
GUGCGUAUAGCCCAGUGGUAGAGCGCGUGUUUAGUUUGCAUGAGGUCCUGGGCUCCAUCCCCAGUACCUCCA